rnacentral:sRNA from 1 species
AUAAGGAAUAAUUAUAAUGCGGUUUGAGCCUUACUGAAAAAAUGAAUUAAUAGCGCGAGAUGGUGUGAGGGAGAGUUAAUGUACACUUCAAGACAAAUCUCCUCUGAAAGAUAUGCAUAGAUAGCUAAAUUAAUGUUGGUACCGUCUCCACAGUUGUAUCAGUCGAAGAACUAUGGUACUAUUUGUGACAAAACUAUGUUUUCUAACAGAUACAGGUUUCAGUAUCUGGACAUACUGGGUCGCCUUGAAGUGUCGUGAUUUUUCCCGAUAAAACAAAGUCUUCCUAAAAAUCAUACUAGAUUAUUACAAAUAAAGUGACU